UGUCACUCAGAUGAGUUAAUGUCAAAGCCGUUGCUGUGUUCAUGGUAAGUUUUCUUUCUCUGGGUGGCCCAUCUACAGCUGGUGCUAACCACCAUGGUGCAGACCUCAUCUACAUCCAACUGUUUACCAAACUCAGCCAAUUCUAUUCAAAUCUCACUUAUAUCCCUUCUCCUCAUUUCUCUCUCUUCAUCUCUGUUGCCCUGUCUUGGUCUAGGUGGGUCAUCUCUUACACAAAUGACUAAUGAGUCUCUCUCACCUUCUCCAUUCUGUCUCUAUGGCCCUCUACAGAUACCUGUAGAGGAGCAUACACCC
rnacentral:lncRNA from 1 species